UUUGACUGUACAAAGGUAGCAUAAUCAAUAGUCUCUUAAUUGGUGACUUGUAUGAAAGAUUGGAUGAGAUAUAUACUGUCUCUAAUUAAUUUAUAGAAUUUAAUUUUUUAGUAAAAAAGCUAAAAUAAUUUUAAAAGACGAGAAGACCCUAUAGAGUUUAAUAAUUUAUUUAAUUAUUAUUAAUAUAUAAUUUUUAAAAUUAAAAUUAAAUAGAUUAUUUUAUUGGGGUGAUAGAAAAAUUAAAUUAACUUUUUUUUAUUAUUUACAUUAAUUUAUGAUUAAAUGAUCCAUUUAUAAUGAUUAAAAGAAAAAAUUACCUUAGGGAUAACAGCGUAAUUUUUUUUUUUAGUUCAAAUAGGAAAAAAAGUUUGCGACCUCGAUGUUGGAUUAA
rnacentral:rRNA from 1 species